GGUUAAGCGACUAAGCGUACACGGUGGAUGCCCUGGCAGUCAGAGGCGAUGAAGGACGUGCUAAUCUGCGAUAAGCGUCGGUAAGGUGAUAUGAACCGUUAUAACCGGCGAUUUCCGAAUGGGGAAACCCAGUGUGAUUCGUCACACUAUCAUUAACUGAAUCCAUAGGUUAAUGAGGCGAACCGGGGGAACUGAAACAUCUAAGUACCCCGAGGAAAAGAAAUCAACCGAGAUUCCCCCAGUAGCGGCGAGCGAACGGGGAGGAGCCCAGAGCCUGAAUCAGUGUGUGUGUUAGUGGAAGCGUCUGGAAAGGCGCGCGAUACAGGGUGACAGCCCCGUACACAAAAAUGCACAUGCUGUGAGCUCGAUGAGUAGGGCGGGACACGUGGUAUCCUGUCUGAAUAUGGGGGGACCAUCCUCCAAGGCUAAAUACUCCUGACUGACCGAUAGUGAACCAGUACCGUGAGGGAAAGGCGAAAAGAACCCCGGCGAGGGGAGUGAAAAAGAACCUGAAACCGUGUACGUACAAGCAGUGGGAGCACAGAGCAAUCUGUGUGACUGCGUACCUUUUGUAUAAUGGGUCAGCGACUUAUAUUCUGUAGCAAGGUUAACCGAAUAGGGGAGCCGAAGGGAAACCGAGUCUUAACUGGGCGUUAAGUUGCAGGGUAUAGACCCGAAACCCGGUGAUCUAGCCAUGGGCAGGUUGAAGGUUGGGUAACACUAACUGGAGGACCGAACCGACUAAUGUUGAAAAAUUAGCGGAUGACUUGUGGCUGGGGGUGAAAGGCCAAUCAAACCGGGAGAUAGCUGGUUCUCCCCGAAAGCUAUUUAGGUAGCGCCUCGUGAAUUCAUCUCCGGGGGUAGAGCACUGUUUCGGCAAGGGGGUCAUCCCGACUUACCAACCCGAUGCAAACUGCGAAUACCGGAGAAUGUUAUCACGGGAGACACACGGCGGGUGCUAACGUCCGUCGUGAAGAGGGAAACAACCCAGACCGCCAGCUAAGGUCCCAAAGUCAUGGUUAAGUGGGAAACGAUGUGGGAAGGCCCAGACAGCCAGGAUGUUGGCUUAGAAGCAGCCAUCAUUUAAAGAAAGCGUAAUAGCUCACUGGUCGAGUCGGCCUGCGCGGAAGAUGUAACGGGGCUAAACCAUGCACCGAAGCUGCGGCAGCGACACUAUGUGUUGUUGGGUAGGGGAGCGUUCUGUAAGCCUGUGAAGGUGUACUGUGAGGUAUGCUGGAGGUAUCAGAAGUGCGAAUGCUGACAUAAGUAACGAUAAAGCGGGUGAAAAGCCCGCUCGCCGGAAGACCAAGGGUUCCUGUCCAACGUUAAUCGGGGCAGGGUGAGUCGACCCCUAAGGCGAGGCCGAAAGGCGUAGUCGAUGGGAAACAGGUUAAUAUUCCUGUACUUGGUGUUACUGCGAAGGGGGGACGGAGAAGGCUAUGUUGGCCGGGCGACGGUUGUCCCGGUUUAAGCGUGUAGGCUGGUUUUCCAGGCAAAUCCGGAAAAUCAAGGCUGAGGCGUGAUGACGAGGCACUACGGUGCUGAAGCAACAAAUGCCCUGCUUCCAGGAAAAGCCUCUAAGCAUCAGGUAACAUCAAAUCGUACCCCAAACCGACACAGGUGGUCAGGUAGAGAAUACCAAGGCGCUUGAGAGAACUCGGGUGAAGGAACUAGGCAAAAUGGUGCCGUAACUUCGGGAGAAGGCACGCUGAUAUGUAGGUGAAGUCCCUCGCGGAUGGAGCUGAAAUCAGUCGAAGAUACCAGCUGGCUGCAACUGUUUAUUAAAAACACAGCACUGUGCAAACACGAAAGUGGACGUAUACGGUGUGACGCCUGCCCGGUGCCGGAAGGUUAAUUGAUGGGGUCAGCGCAAGCGAAGCUCUUGAUCGAAGCCCCGGUAAACGGCGGCCGUAACUAUAACGGUCCUAAGGUAGCGAAAUUCCUUGUCGGGUAAGUUCCGACCUGCACGAAUGGCGUAAUGAUGGCCAGGCUGUCUCCACCCGAGACUCAGUGAAAUUGAACUCGCUGUGAAGAUGCAGUGUACCCGCGGCAAGACGGAAAGACCCCGUGAACCUUUACUAUAGCUUGACACUGAACAUUGAGCCUUGAUGUGUAGGAUAGGUGGGAGGCUUUGAAGUGUGGACGCCAGUCUGCAUGGAGCCGACCUUGAAAUACCACCCUUUAAUGUUUGAUGUUCUAACGUUGACCCGUGAUCCGGGUUGCGGACAGUGUCUGGUGGGUAGUUUGACUGGGGCGGUCUCCUCCUAAAGAGUAACGGAGGAGCACGAAGGUUGGCUAAUCCUGGUCGGACAUCAGGAGGUUAGUGCAAUGGCAUAAGCCAGCUUGACUGCGAGCGUGACGGCGCGAGCAGGUGCGAAAGCAGGUCAUAGUGAUCCGGUGGUUCUGAAUGGAAGGGCCAUCGCUCAACGGAUAAAAGGUACUCCGGGGAUAACAGGCUGAUACCGCCCAAGAGUUCAUAUCGACGGCGGUGUUUGGCACCUCGAUGUCGGCUCAUCACAUCCUGGGGCUGAAGUAGGUCCCAAGGGUAUGGCUGUUCGCCAUUUAAAGUGGUACGCGAGCUGGGUUUAGAACGUCGUGAGACAGUUCGGUCCCUAUCUGCCGUGGGCGCUGGAGAACUGAGGGGGGCUGCUCCUAGUACGAGAGGACCGGAGUGGACGCAUCACUGGUGUUCGGGUUGUCAUGCCAAUGGCACUGCCCGGUAGCUAAAUGCGGAAGAGAUAAGUGCUGAAAGCAUCUAAGCACGAAACUUGCCCCGAGAUGAGUUCUCCCUGACUCCUUGAGAGUCCUGAAGGAACGUUGAAGACGACGACGUUGAUAGGCCGGGUGUGUAAGCGCAGCGAUGCGUUGAGCUAACCGGUACUAAUGAACCGUGAGGCUUAACCUU
rnacentral:rRNA from 1 species